rnacentral:rRNA from 1 species
UGGGGAAUAUUGCACAAUGGGCGAAAGCCUGAUGCAGCGACGCCGCGUGCGGGAUGAAGGCCUUCGGGUUGUAAACCGCUUUUAAUUGGGAGCAAGCGAGAGUGAGUGUACCUUUUGAAUAAGCACCGGCUAACUACGUGCCAGCAGCCGCGGUAAUACGUAGGGUGCAAGCGUUAUCCGGAAUUAUUGGGCGUAAAGAGCUCGUAGGCGGUUUGUCACGCCUGGUGUGAAAGUCCAUCGCUUAACGGUGGAUCUGCGCCGGGUACGGGCAGGCUAGAGUGCAGUAGGGGAGAUUGGAAUUCCCGGUGUAACGGUGGAAUGUGUAGAUAUCGGGAAGAACACCAAUGGCGAAGGCAGAUCUCUGGGCUGUUACUGACGCUGAGGAGCGAAAGCAUGGGGAGCGAACAGGAUUAGAUACCCUGGUAGUCCAUGCCGUAAACGGUGGAUGCUGGAUGUGGGACCCUUCCACGGGUUCCGUGUCGGAGCUAACGCGUUAAGCAUCCCCGCCUGGGGGAGUACGGCC